rnacentral:rRNA from 1 species
AUUGAACGCUGGCGGCAGGCCUAACACAUGCAAGUCGAACGAGUGGCGGACGGGUGGGUAAUGUCUGGGAAACUGCCUGAUGGAGGGGGAUGACUACUGGAAACGGUAGAUAAUACCGCAUACCAUCAGCUGUGCCCAGAUGGGAUUAGCUUGUUGGUGGGGAAACGGCUAACCAAGGCGACGAUCCCUAGCUGGUCUGAGAGGAUGACCAGCCACACGGGAACGGAGACACGGUCCAGACUCCUACGGGAGGCAGCAGUGGGGAAUAUUGCACAAUGGGCGCAAGCCUGAUGCAGACAGGCCGCGUGUAUGAAGAAGGCCGUCGGGUUGUAAAGUAAUUUCAGCGGGGAGGCGUGACCCGCAGAAGAAGCACCGGCUAACUCCGUGCCAGCAGCCGCGGUAAUUC